CAAAAGCCUGGUCCUGACUUUAUUAUCAGUUAUGGCCUAAAUUACACAUGCAAGUACCCGCACCCCCGUGAGAAUGCCCUCCAACCCCUCAGUGGGGAAGAGGAGCUGGCAUCAGGCACACACUAAAGGUGGCCCAAAACGCCUUGCUUAGCCACACCCCCAAGGGAAUUCAGCAGUGAUAAAUAUUAAGCCAUGAGCGAAAGCUUGACUUAAUUAAGGCUAAACAGAGCCGGUAAAACUCGUGCCAGCCACCGCGGUUAUACGAGGGGCUCAAAUUGAUAUCCUUCGGCGUAAAGUGUGAUUAGAGAACAAUAAAAACUAAAGCUAAACACCUCCUGAGCUGUCAUACGCUAACGGAGACAGAAACCCCACAACGAAAGUAGCUUUAACAACUCUUGAACUCACGACCAUUAAGAAACAAACUGGGAUUAGAUACCCCACUAUGCUUAAUCGUAAACAACGAUGAUAAUAUACAAAUACCAUCCGCCAGGGGACUACGAGCACUAGCUUAAAACCCAAAGGACUUGGCGGUGCCUCAAACCCACCUAGAGGAGCCUGUUCUAUAACCGAUAAUCCCCGUUAAACCUCACCACUCCUUGUUAAUCCAGCCUAUAUACCGCCGUCGCCAGCUUACCUCAUGAGAGACUAACAGUAAGCCAAAUGGGUUAUACCCAACACGUCAGGUCGAGGUGUAGCGAAUGGAGUGGAAAGAAAUGGGCUACAUUUUCUGACUCAGAAUAUACGAAAAGUGCCAUGAAAAAGCACACCUGAAGGUGGAUUUAGCAGUAAAAAGAAAACAGAGAGCUCUUUUGAAGCCGGCCCUGAGGCGCGUACACACCGCCCGUCACUCUCCUCAAACAAACCAGACAAUUUAUAAUCACCUGAACAACAAAAGAGGAGGCAAGUCGUAACAUGGUAAGUGUACCGGAAGGUGCACUUGGAAAAAC
rnacentral:ncRNA from 1 species